AGUUUGAUCCUGGCUCAAGAUGAACGCUGGCGGCGUGCCUAAUACAUGCAAGUCGAACGCGGGCAGCAAUGCCCGAGUGGCGAACGGGUGAGUAAUACAUAAGUAACCUGCCCUUUACAGGGGGAUAACUAUUGGAAACGAUAGCUAAGACCGCAUAGGUAAAGAUACCGCAUGGUAAGUUUAUUAAAAGUGCCAAGGCACUGGUAGAGGAUGGACUUAUGGCGCAUUAGCUAGUUGGUGAGGUAACGGCUCACCAAAGCGACGAUGCGUAGCCGACCUGAGAGGGUGACCGGCCACACUGGGACUGAGACACGGCCCAGACUCCUACGGGAGGCAGCAGUAGGGAAUUUUCGGCAAUGGGGGGAACCCUGACCGAGCAACGCCGCGUGAAGGAGGAAGGUCUUCGGACUGUAAACUUCUGUUAUAAAGGAAGAAAGGCGGAUACAGGGAAUGGUAUCCGAGUGACGGUACUUUAUGAGGAAGCCACGGCUAACUACGUGCCAGCAGCCGCGGUAAUACGUAGGUGGCAAGCGUUAUCCGGAAUUAUUGGGCGUAAAGAGGGAGCAGGCGGCAGCAAGGGUCUGUGGUGAAAGACUGAAGCUUAACUUCAGUAAGCCAUAGAAACCGGGCAGCUAGAGUGCAGGAGAGGAUCGUGGAAUUCCAUGUGUAGCGGUGAAAUGCGUAGAUAUAUGGAGGAACACCAGUGGCGAAGGCGACGAUCUGGCCUGCAACUGACGCUCAGUCCCGAAAGCGUGGGGAGCAAAUAGGAUUAGAUACCCUAGUAGUCCACGCCGUAAACGAUGAGUACUAAGUGUGGGGAGUCAAAUCUCAGUGCUGCAGUUAACGCAGUAAGUACUCCGCCUGAGUAGUACGUUCGCAAGAAUGAAACUCAAAGGAAUUGACGGGGGCCCGCACAAGCGGUGGAGCAUGUGGUUUAAUUCGAAGCAACGCGAAGAACCUUACCAGGUCUUGACAUACUCUUAAAGGCUCCAGAGAUGGAGAGAUAGAUAUAUGGGAUACAGGUGGUGCAUGGUUGUCGUCAGCUCGUGUCGUGAGAUGUUGGGUUAAGUCCCGCAACGAGCGCAACCCUUAUCGUUAGUUACCAUCAUUAAGUUGGGGACUCUAGCGAGACUGCCAGUGACAAGCUGGAGGAAGGCGGGGAGGACGUCAAAUCAUCAUGCCCCUUAUGACCUGGGCUACACACGUGCUACAAUGGAUGGAGCAGAGGGAAGAGAAGCCGCGAGGUGGAGCGAAACCCAGAAAACCAUUCUCAGUUCGGAUUGUAGUCUGCAACUCGACUACAUGAAGUUGGAAUCGCUAGUAAUCGCGAAUCAGCAUGUCGCGGUGAAUA
rnacentral:rRNA from 1 species